rnacentral:rRNA from 1 species
CACGUAGGGGGCAAGCGUUGUCCGGAAUUAUUGGGCGUAAAGAGCUCGUAGGCGGCUCGGUAAGUCAGGUGUCAAAUCCUCAGGCUCAACCUGGGGCUCCACCUGAUACUGCUGUGGCUAGAGUCCGGUAGGGGAGCGUGGAAUUCCUGGUGUAGCGGUGAAAUGCGCAGAUAUCAGGAGGAACACCAGCGGCGAAGGCGGCGCUCUGGGCCGGAACUGACGCUGAGGCGCGAAAGCGUGGGGAGCAAACAGG